rnacentral:lncRNA from 1 species
AAAAUAAUUUUUUUUGAUGAAAAUAUUUCAUCACAAAAAAAGUAUUAUUAGAGACAAAAAUUUUUAUUUUAUUGUAAAAUAUUAUCUGUGAUCCCAUUUUUAGUGACUAAUUAUUAGCGAUGAAAUUUCUUUCAUAAAUAAUUAUUUAUGAUAAUAAUUUAGUAUUUAUGAUAUUUUUUUACAUCAUAAAUAUCUUUUUUUGUUAUAGUAUGUACAAC